CAGUCGCCGCGGUAAUACGUAGGGUGCAAGCGUUAAUCGGAAUUACUGGGCGUAAAGCGUGCGCAGGCGGUUCGUUAAGACAGAUGUGAAAUCCCCGGGCUUAACCUGGGAACUGCAUUUGUGACUGGCGGGCUAGAGUAUGGCAGAGGGGGGUAGAAUUCCACGUGUAGCAGUGAAAUGCGUAGAGAUGUGGAGGAAUACCGAUGGCGAAGGCAGCCCCCUGGGCCAAUACUGACGCUCAUGCACGAAAGCGUGGGGAGCAAACAGGAUUAGAUACCCGGGUAGUCCCUGUCUCUUAUAA
rnacentral:rRNA from 1 species